GGCUUAAUACAUGCAAGUCGAGGGGCAGCGGGGGUAGCAAUACCUGCCGGCGACCGGCAAACGGGUGCGGAACACGUACGCAACUUUCCCAAAACUGGUGAAUAGCCUUCCGAAAGGGAGAUUAAUACACCGUAAGAUGUAGGAGUGGCAUCACUCUUAUAUUAUAGCUCCGGCGGUUUUGGAUGGGCGUGCGGCUGAUUAGGUAGUUGGCGGGGUAACGGCCCACCAAGCCUGCGAUCAGUAACUGGUGUGAGAGCACGACCAGUCACACGGGCACUGAGACACGGGCCCGACUCCUACGGGAGGCAGCAGUAAGGAAUAUUGGUCAAUGGACGCAAGUCUGAACCAGCCAUGCCGCGUGCAGGAUGACGGCCCUCUGGGUUGUAAACUGCUUUUAUAGGGGACGAAAAAGGGCUUUCUAGCUCGUCUGACGGUACCCUAGGAAUAAGCACCGGCUAACUCCGUGCCAGCAGCCGCGGUAAUACGGAGGGUGCAAGCGUUAUCCGGAUUUACUGGGUUUAAAGGGUGCGUAGGUGGGUCGGUAAGUCAGCGGUGAAAUCUUCGAGCUUAACUCGGAAACUGCCAUUGAUACUUUUUAUCUUGAAUAUCCCGGAGGUAAGCGGAAUAUGUCAUGUAGCGGUGAAAUGCUUGGAUAUGACAUAGAACACCCAUUGCGAAGGCAGCUUACUACAGGAUUAUUGACACUGAGGCACGAAAGCGUGGGGAUCAAACAGGAUUAGAUACCCUGGUAGUCCACGCCCUAAACGAUGGAUACUCGACAUCAGCGAUACACAGUUGGUGUCUGAGCGAAAGCAUUAAGUAUCCCACCUGGGAAGUACG
rnacentral:rRNA from 1 species